GACGUAGGGCGCGAGCGUUGUCCGGAUUUAUUGGGGCGUAAAGAGCUUGUAGGCGGUCUGUCGCGUCUGCCGUGAAAAUCCGGGGCUCAACCCCGGACUUGCAGUGGGUACGGGCAGACUAGAGUGUGGUAGGGGAGACUGGAAUUCCUGGUGUAGCGGUGAAAUGCGCAGAUAUCAGGAGGAACACCGAUGGCGAAGGCAGGUCUCUGGGCCACUACUGACGCUGAGAAGCGAAAGCAUGGGGAGCGAACAGG
rnacentral:rRNA from 1 species